rnacentral:rRNA from 1 species
AGAGUUUGAUCCUGGCUCAGAUUGAACGCUGGCGGUAUGCUUUACACAUGCAAGUCGGACGGCAGCAUGGGUGCUUGCACCUGAUGGCGAGUGGCGAACGGGUGAGUAAUGUAUCGGAACAUAUCCGGAAGUGGGGGAUAGCUCGGCGAAAGCCGGAUUAAUACCGCAUAUGCCCUGAGGGGGAAAGCGGGGGAUCUUCGGACCUCGCGCUUUCGGAGUGGCCGAUAUCGGAUUAGCUAGUAGGUGGGGUAACGGCUCACCUAGGCGACGAUCCGUAGCUGGUCUGAGAGGACGACCAGCCACACUGGAACUGAGACACGGUCCAGACUCCUACGGGAGGCAGCAGUGGGGAAUUUUGGACAAUGGGGGCAACCCUGAUCCAGCCAUACCGCGUGAGUGAAGAAGGCCUUCGGGUUGUAAAGCUCUUUCGGCAGGAAAGAAAUCGCACGCUCUAACAUAGCGUGUGGAUGACGGUACCUGAAGAAGAAGCACCGGCUAACUACGUGCCAGCAGCCGCGGUAAUACGUAGGGUGCGAGCGUUAAUCGGAAUUACUGGGCGUAAAGCGUGCGCAGGCGGCUUUUUAAGCCAGAUGUGAAAUCCCCGGGCUCAACCUGGGAACUGCAUUUGGAACUGGAAGACUAGAGUGUAGAAGAGGGGGGUAGAAUUCCACGUGUAGCAGUGAAAUGCGUAGAUAUGUGGAGGAAUACCGAUGGCGAAGGCAGCCCCCUGGGCUAACACUGACGCUCAUGCACGAAAGCGUGGGGAGCAAACAGGAUUAGAUACCCUGGUAGUCCACGCCCUAAACGAUGUCAACUAGGUGUUGGGGAAGGAGACUUCUUUAGUACCGCAGCUAACGCAUUAAGUGUUCCGCCUGGGGAGUACGAUCGCAAGAUUAAAACUUAAAGGAAUUGACGG